CUUGCGCAAAAAUACUAAUGACGGUAUUGUUCAUCUUUACAUAAUAGUUUACACCGGUUUAGCGCCUGCCUAAAUAGGCUGUGUUUACAAUGUAUUUUGUCUGUGUCAGUUUUAGCUUUUCAUAAAUGUAUUCAGCCAUAGUGAACACGAAAACUCUCAUAGUCCGCAUCAUACUUUAUAAAAUACGAAUGUAUGAUACAUUAUUAUAUAAUUGGUA